rnacentral:rRNA from 1 species
CACGUAGGGGGCGAGCGUUGUCCGGAUUUAUUGGGCGUAAAGAGCUCGUAGGCGGUUUCGUAAGUCGGAUGUGAAAACUCCAGGCUCAACUUGGAGACGCCAUUCGAUACUGCGAUGACUUGAGUCCGGUAGGGGAGUGUGGAAUUCCCGGUGUAGCGGUGAAAUGCGCAGAUAUCUGGAGGAACACCGGUGGCGAAGGCGGCAUCCUGGACCGGUAUUGACGCUGAGGCGCGAAAGCUAGGGGAGCAAACGGG